rnacentral:rRNA from 1 species
CAACAGUAGGGAAUCUUCCACAAUGGACGAAAGUCUGAUGGAGCAACGCCGCGUGAGUGAAGAAGGGUUUCGGCUCGUAAAACUCUGUUGUUAAAGAAGAACAUAUCUGAGAGUAACUGUUCAGGUAUUGACGGUAUUUAACCAGAAAGCCACGGCUAACUACGUGCCAGCAGCCGCGGUAAUACGUAGGUGGCAAGCGUUGUCCGGAUUUAUUGGGCGUAAAGCGAGCGCAGGCGGUUUUUUAAGUCUGAUGUGAAAGCCUUCGGCUCAACCGAAGAAGUGCAUCGGAAACUGGGAAACUUGAGUGCAGAAGAGGACAGUGGAACUCCAUGUGUAGCGGUGAAAUGCGUAGAUAUAUGGAAGAACACCAGUGGCGAAGGCGGCUGUCUGGUCUGUAACUGACGCUGAGGCUCGAAAGUAUGGGUAGCAAACAGGAUUAGAUACCCUGGUAGUCCAUACCGUAAACGAUGAAUGCUAAGUGUUGGAGGGUUUCCGCCCUUCAGUGCUGCAGCUAACGCAUUAAGCAUCCGC